AAGAAAAAGAAAAAGGGGAUAGAAAAACGAGAGGAAAGCGGAAGGGAACCACUUUUUGGUGAGUGGUCCCUAGAAAAGAAAGGAGGAAAGAAAAGGGAGGGUCAAUACAAAAAGAAGUUUGUGCUCGGCAAGGAGAAGAUGAGGAAAAU
ensembl:ncRNA F47C8.3 ncRNA